CCGUAAACGAUGAAUGCUAGGUGUUGGAUGGUUUCCGCCCUUCAGUGCCGCAGCUAACGCAUUAAGCAUUCCGCCUGGGGAGUACGACCGCAAGGUUGAAACUCAAAGGAAUUGACGGGGGCCCGCACAAGCGGUGGAGCAUGUGGUUUAAUUCGAAGCAACGCGAAGAACCUUACCAGGUCUUGACAUCUUUUGAUCACCUGAGAGAUCAGGUUUCCCCUUCGGGGGCAAAAUGACAGGUGGUGCAUGGUUGUCGUCAGCUCGUGUCGUGAGAUGUUGGGUUAAGUCCCGCAACGAGCGCAACCCUUAUGACUAGUUGCCAGCAUUUAGUUGGGCACUCUAGUAAGACUGCCGGUGACAAACCGGAGGAAGGUGGGGAUGACGUCAAAUCAUCAUGCCCCUUAUGACCUGGGCUACACACGUGCUACAAUGGAUGGUACAACGAGUUGCGAGACCGCGAGGUCAAGCUAAUCUCUUAAAGCCAUUCUCAGUUCGGACUGUAGGCUGCAACUCGCCUACACGAAGUCGGAAUCGCUAGUAAUCGCGGAUCAGCACGCCGCGGUGAAUACGUUCCCGGGCCUUGUACACACCGCCCGUCACACCAUGAGAGUUUGUAACACCCGAAGCCGGUGGCGUAACCCUUUUAGGGAGCGAGCCGUCUAAAGUGGGACAAAUGAUUAGGGUGAAGUCGUAACAAGGUAGCCGUAGGAGAACCCUGCGGCUGGAUCACCUCCUUUCUAGACUUG
rnacentral:rRNA from 1 species